UACGUAGGGGGCAAGCGUUGUCCGGAUUUAUUGGGCGUAAAGAGCGUGUAGGCGGCCCGAUUAGUCCGCUGUGAAAGUCCAGGGCUCAACCCUGGAAUGCCGGUGGAUACUGUCGGGCUAGAGUGCGGGAGAGGAGAGUGGAAUUCCUGGUGUAGCGGUGAAAUGCGCAGAUAUCAGGAAGAACACCCGUGGCGAAGGCGGCUCUCUGGAACGCAACUGACGCUGAGACGCGAAAGCGUGGGGAGCAAACAGG
rnacentral:rRNA from 1 species